rnacentral:rRNA from 1 species
AGCGAACGCUGGCGGCAGGCCUAACACAUGCAAGUCGAACGAACUCUUCGGAGUUAGUGGCGGACGGGUGAGUAACACGUGGGAACGUGCCUUUUGGUUCGGAAUAACUCAGGGAAACUUGUGCUAAUACCGAAUGUGCCCUUCGGGGGAAAGAUGUAUCGCCAUUAGAGCGGCCCGCGUCUGAUUAGCUAGUUGGUGAGGUAACGGCUCACCAAGGCGACGAUCAGUAGCUGGUCUGAGAGGAUGACCAGCCACACUGGGACUGAGACACGGCCCAGGCUCGUACGGGAGGCAGCAGUGGGGAAUCUUGCGCAAUGGGCGAAAGCCUGACGCAGCCAUGCCGCGUGAAUGAUGAAGGUCUUAGGAUUGUAAAAUUCUUUCACCGGGGACGAUAAUGACGGUACCCGGAGAAGAAGCCCCGGCUAACUUCGUG